rnacentral:other from 1 species
UUCGCCCUGCGGUGUGCGUGAUUGCCCUUAAGAGUCUUUAGCCAACACUGAUCUCCUGGGAGCCAGAGUCUGGUUGUCGAGUGGCAGCCCGACCCACAAGUCGGGAAUCGCGAGACGGACCAGCGCGGCGCCCACCUGCGAAAGCAGGUUAAAAGACUCACAGGGCACACGGCAUUCGCGGGGCAUUU